rnacentral:rRNA from 1 species
UACGUAGGGGGCUAGCGUUGUCCGGAAUCAUUGGGCGUAAAGCGCGUGUAGGCGGCCCGGUAAGUCCGCUGUGAAAGUCGGGGGCUCAACCCUCGAAAGCCGGUGGAUACUGUCGGGCUCGAGUGCGGAAGAGGCGAGUGGAAUUCCUGGUGUAGCGGUGAAAUGCACAGAUAUCAGGAGGAACACCGAUUGCGAAGGCAGCUCGCUGGGACGUUACUGACGCUGAGACGCGAAAGCGUGGGGAGCAAACAGG